UACGGAGGGGGCUAGCGUUGUUCGGAAUUACUGGGCGUAAAGGGCGCGUAGGCGGCCGCCUAAGUCAGACGUGAAAUCCCUCGGCUCAACCGGGGAACUGCGUCUGAUACUGAGUGGCUUGAAUUCGGGAGAGGGAUGCGGAAUUCCAGGUGUAGCGGUGAAAUGCGUAGAUAUCUGGAGGAACACCGGUGGCGAAGGCGGCAUCCUGGACCGAGAUUGACGCUGAGGCGCGAAAGCCAGGGGAGCAAACGGG
rnacentral:rRNA from 1 species